GGGCCCCUGCCCCAAGAGCAGAUGACCCCAUGACAGGCAUAGCAAGGUCAAAGCGAACAACCCUAAUUCUAGGGAGGGGGGGACGGGCAAUCCGAUGCACGAGCGAAAAGAGGAAGCCCUAGCCUCGUGCAAGGAGUUUUAGCAUUUCUGGCUGUCAAUCAACAAAUGGCAACAUUAACGUCUUCCCAACAACAAGGGAAGCCCCAGUCGCAUCAGUGGCCAACGAUCAAUUAGCCCGCCCCACAACUUUGGAUUGUCCUGUUGGCGCCCACCGCAACACGUGCUCUUCAUGAAGAAGAACACGCUAUCACAAGCUUAACAUGAGUCAACAGUGUGAUUCAGCAGCAGCAAAAAAGAGAGAGGGGAAAAUGCUAUUUAGGCUACGUAAAAGAAAGUCAUGGUUCUGCUCUGUUCUGCCUUGAUCAGACCACACCAGAAGUACUGUGUCUAUUUCUGGGCACCACAAGGGGUUGGUAAGCUGGAACAGAUGCUAAGGAGGGUGACCAAGGCUGGAUCUAGACACAUCAAAGAAGUGCUUCAGUUAAAUGCUUUUUCAACUUUGUAUGAGAAAUCAGGUUGAGAAAAAACAGACCUCCACAGCGCCAUCUGGUGUCACAGUGUUAGAAUGCAUAAGCAAUGCAUAUAAAGUGCUCUUUCUUUGCCAGUGUAACUGAGUCGCAAGAUGAUCAAAGGUUUGGAAACCAAGACUUAUGAGAAUGGUUGAGGGAGUUGAGUAUGUUUAGCCUGGAAAAUAGGAGACUGAGAAGAUAUAUGAUAGCCAUCUUCAUAUAUUACAAGGGCUGUCACAAGAUGGAGCAAGGUUAUUUUCUCCUGCUUUGCAGGGUAGGACUCAAACCAAUGGAUUCAAGUUACAAGAAAGGAGAUCCCAACUAAACAUUAGCAAGUACUUUCUGAUAGUAAGAGCUGUUUGAUAGUGGAACAGACUCCCUUGGGAGGUUGUGGACUCUCCUUCCUUGCAGGUUUUAAGCAUCUGUCAUGGAUGCUUUAGUUGAGAUUCUUGCAUUGCAGGGGUUUGGACUAGAUCAGGCUUCCUCAACCUCUGCCCUCCAGAUGUUUUUGGCCUACAACUCCCAUAAUCCCUAGCUAGCAGGACCAGUGGUCAGAGAUGAUGGGAACUGUAGUCUCAAAUCUUCUGGAGGGCUGAGGCUGAGGAAGCCUGGACUAGAUGACCCUAUGAGUCCCUUCCAACUACAGUUCUAUGAUUCUUUACUUUUGAAAAUUGUGGCUUCCAUAAUCAUUGUGAGAUGCAUCAUAGAAUCACAGAAUCUUACAUAUAUGAAUAAAUAUAUACACAUGCAUAGACACAUGGUAGAGUUCCCUGAUAACAUCCUGUAAUUACACAAAAGAGUUCUUAUUUAUUUAAAAAGUUACUUUUGUUUUAAAAGGGAUGUGGUUUGGAAAUAAAUAAUGCCAUAUAUCAAAUAGUUAAAUGCAGAUGAUAGUCCAUUGGCUUUGCUUUUUUUCUACAUCAAUCAAAACUACUAAAGUAUCCUGGGAAUUAGAAGCACAUAAAGUAUUUUUCUGUAAAAACACAUUUUCAAUUAUACAGCAUCCAUUGAUCAAAACUCUGCAAUCUGUAUCUCACAAGAUAUAGGUUGCAUUACAAGAUAAAUUAAUUCCCUUAAGCUUAAUUGCUUCGUGUAAGAAUAUAUUGAGCCUUGAGAAUGGGCUAUUAGUGUUUCAAGGACUAGAAUUAUUAAUAUCUGUAGCAAAUACUGAAAGUUUUUUAAAAAGAUUUUUUAGCCUUGAGACAGCAGGGGAAUUUUGGGCAUUCCCAUGUUGAUGACAGGAUGACGUGGCAAGGGGGUGUAAUUUGUGGCUGGCCCAGACAGGACAUUUUCCUUCCACACUGGGCAUUGCUUGUUACUGUUUCCUGAUUUUAUUUAAAUGUGGAAACAGGAAACAAUAAAAAUACAACCACAGCAACAAUGUAACACAUAAAUUAUGAAACAAAUGCAUGAAACUUUUAAAGCCACGUGAAAUCUGUCUGCAGGAGCACAGAAAUAUAGCUGUGUGGUGAUUCCCUAUAGAUUUGGCGCAAAGAGCCCUCACUAAAAGGUAAAGGGACCCUUGACCAUUAGGUCCAGUCGUGACCGACUCUGGGGUUGCGGCGCUCAUCUCACUUUAUUGGCCGAGGGAGCCGGUGUACAGCUUCCGGGUCAUGUGGCCAGCAUGACUAAGCCGCUUCUGGCGAACCAGAGCAGCGCACAGAAACGCCGUUUACCUUCCCACUGGAGCGGUACCUAUUUAUCUACUUGCACUUUGAUGUGCUUUUGAACUGCUAGGUUGGCAGGAGCAGGGACCGAGCAACGGGAGCUCACCCCGCCACCGAGUGAUUCGAACUGCCGACCUUCUGAUUGGCAAGUCCUAGGCUCUCUGGUUUAACCCACAGCGCCACCCGCGUCCAGUAGUCUGUCUUAAAUCUCACUAGUCUGUCUUAAAUCUGCUAGUAUGUUGGGGAGGUGUAUGUUUUAAAGAAAAUGACCACAUUUUCUGUCUGACUGCCCACCGCCCAUUGCUUUACUAUGAGUUUAACAAAUCGUGUCCUCCUCCCAGAGAGCACACGUUGCAGUGAGAUAAUCAAGGCUGACUUCACUGCUGUUGUGGGUGGGAGCGAUUGGAUAGCCACAACAACCUGAUUGGUGUUCCCUCGGUUGCUGGGGUAAUUCUGGCCAAUGGGAUAGUUUCAUGCAUUAACCGAGUGACCUAUAUUUACUGCUGCAUGUUGUGUUGAGCUUCCUCUUUUCAUCUCAUGCAUUAGAUCACCUGCUCACCCUCCCUAUGUUUAGGGUUCAUUAUGACCUUGCUAUGCCGCCAUGGGUCGUCUGUUCUUGGGACAGGGGAAUUUUCCCAUUUGGUUGAUUGGCUGGUGCCACUUGGGUUUCGCUUGCCAUGUAGCAAAUCGUCACAAUUUUGUAAGGUUUGGCGGUUAGGCAUUGGUUCAAUGUGUGGAGUUGAGGGGAGGUUGUCACACCUGCCCCUCCAAUGCGCGAAAGGGUAAUCCGUUAAAGGAAUCCAGGGGCUCGGCUUGCUUUUGUCCGAUCCCCUUCUGGGGUUAGGGCCACGCCAGAGCCCAUGGCAGCAUUUGGGGUGAGCUUGAAUCUGAACCUGGUCCAAUAUUCCCCAGGAUGUUUUCCCUUACUGACGUCUGCCAGAGUCCAGGCGUCAGUUUUGCCCUGCCAAGGUCAGGUGCAGCUAGUCAGGAACCAAUGCCUAAGCAAACCACUCAUGAUCUGUAAUCAAUAAAGUUGUGGCCAAAAUUAUGCCAAUAACCUUAAACUAAAUUCCAUGUCAAUUGUGUCUUUACAGUAGUUAUUGAGGGAGGUCUUGGAAUCUUAACACGCAAUAGGCAACCACAUAUUCCUAUCAUAAUGAUAAUAUUAAGGUGAGUAACUAGAGUUGCAGCUUAGCCUGCCAGGUCCACCUGCCAUGACAGGCACCUCACUUGGAAACGCCUGUGCCAUGCAUAACUACACCACAGCUUCUGUGCAGCUAAGCAAGUUCAAGGCAGUGAGUACCUUCAUUUAGUCAGCAUGAAGGAUUCUAUGUACAAGCAUAGCCUGUUUAUGCAGAUCCUCGCCAAGACAAAAAUGGUGUCUUCACUGGGCUGUCUGUUGAACCUUAAUGAUAGAAUCUAAGCUUCAUGUAGGUAUUGGUCAUUUUAAGAGGCUGAUGAACGGGGUUAUUCACAGCUCCCCUGGGUGGGUUCUUAACACAGGUCUGAAGCAGAGCUUUUCCCCGGGCCAUGAAAGGAAAUGAAAGAGGGAGUUAGAUGGCUGGUUUCUGCUGUUGGGACAGUGCACACUUACUGUAGUUCAGCAUGCCUGUUUACAGUACACAGCCAUUUUAAAGAGAUAAGUUUUUAAGAUACCCGAUCCACAACAUACCUGAGGCAGAAUGGUAGCUUUCCAUCUUGGGUUUCCAAAAUAUGAGAUAUUUGAUUUUGGAAGUCAUGCGCCACUCUUUCACAAAUGAUAUAUGCCUUUUCCAUUUGUUUAGUAUUUUCUCUAAAGUAGCAGUUGAGUUUUACAAGCCCUGGUGAGCCUCAUGAGAAAAAUUCUAAUGAGCUCAGACUUCACUGUUGCCAUAGUAACUAAGCAGAAGUUACUAAGGACUCUUGCUCCAUAUCGCAACAAAUAUCCUGAAAAGCUAAAAGCCAAUUAAAUUAUGUCUAAUAAAUAUAUUGCACACUGAGCACACCUCACCUCUCAUUUCAGGUUAAAAAAAGUGGUUUCCAAUAUUAAAUUGUGGGGGUUUUUUGUUGCUAUUACUAUCACUGAUAUAAAAUACAUUAGCCUUUGAACAUGUAGAUGAGGUUUUCUUGAAGCAGGCAAUAUCUUAUACUAUUAAUGGAUGCGUUUAUUUUAUGGAGUGUGCUAAUGCAUUUAUUAUGGAAUGUGAUACUAUAUUUAUCAGUUUUUGGCAGGAACUGUAUCACUCUGAAGAAUCUGAAGGUUUUAUAAAAGAAAAAUGUAAGUCCAGAAGCUCAUGGACAGAACAAAUCACUUACGACCCAUUCAAAUGCAAUGAAACAAUUGCCAUUUGUUGUCGAAUGCUUCAGAAACUUGUAAAUCCAUAUAAACAAACACAUAAAAAUAUCCCUGCAAGGUCCUACUUUGCUAUAACUGGAUUUUACUGUGAAUGACAAAUGGAAGGAUUCAGCAUUGGUUUUGUUGUUGUGGAAGUUUGGGUCCACCUUUCAAAACUUUUUCUCAUAUUGGGAACUCAUUUUCCAUUUGUUGUUGUCGUUUUCUUCUCCGAUAAGCAGAGUUUUUUGAAAGGCCUUCAAAUUAAAAGUCAGCUCCAAUGAAAUGAAUGUGUGAGGCAAAGUAUUGGAUGUGGGGAAUUGACUUAAUGGGAGCUUGGGUAUUCAUACUUCAUGUUGAACUGGGCCUAGUUGGGAAUGGAGCCUUACCAGCCAACUACUCCUUGUAGUUCCUUCAACCAACUUACUCCACUAAAAAGAUGGGGAAACUGUGCUUCAGAGAUCCAGAUCAUGGGGAGAUCCAAAAAAAUAAUAAUUAUAAUUUGGUCUAUUUAUUUUAGUUUUUUAUUUUAAUUGGAGUAUUAUGAUUGGAUAUAUUAAUUGGAUGUUUUUUAUUGGAAAAUCAAUAAAAAUGAUUUUUAAAAGAUGGGGAAACUAGCAGGAAGAGAAUCUCACGUGGGGAGUGAGAAGAGGCCUUGCAGGCCUAGGAUUAGCUGGAAAUACAGGUCCUGGUCAUGAAUUAAAUUCACAUUAAUUGAUUCAGGAAACAUAAAUCCCUAGAAAUCCCAAGAAUGCUGCAUGGAAAGGCAUUUUCCCUGUUCAGGAAAAGGCCUAGAUUCAGCAUGCUGUUCUUCAGGACUGCCUCACCCAGUGGGGCAGCAAUCGCCUCCUGGCAACAGCAUCGCUGCUGCUUAUUGAGAGAGGUGGCAGCCAGGUCAGAGCUGUGUGGGAGCACUGGCAGAGUCAAUCCGACACUGCCACUGGUGCAACUAUCCAGCCAUGAUCUCGCCACCACCUCACCCUCUCCCCUCCCAGUAAGCAGCAAGGACAUUUCUGCCAGGAGGCUAUUACUGCAGCUCUGCCCCACUGGGAGAUCUGCUCCCACCCUUCCUGCCACCACACCCCUCCACCAUUUUGUAGCAGGUAUGGUGGGUUGGGAAGUAGACUGGUGGACAAUUCAUCUGCAAUAAUUUUUUUUUAGCACUCUCAGGAAGAAGCUCAGAAAGACCUCUGGCUUUUUAAUGAACCUCUGCAAAUGUCUGGGAAAGCAAAUGAGAUGGGGAUUUUAACAAUGUCACUAAGGUGCCUUUAUAUUAGCUAUUAAGCCACCUAACAAACCUCUGCAUUACCUUUUUUUGCCCAGGCUCAGAGACCUCCAUGUUCUGACAUUGGGAAAACAGCAGUACAAGCAUUCCCAGCACAUGUGUGGGAUGCUAAAACAAUGCUUGGGGAAAUUGGUAGUUAAGAUGUGUGCAUAUUGGAAGAUAAGUAGAGCUCUAGAUCAAGCAGCAAGUCAAGAGACCUAUAGCACAUUACUGUCUCAACCCACACUCUGCUGUCUCCUUUGAAACAGUAAUUUACUCAGAAAAUGGGUAUUAAAAUUUACAACUUCUCUUAAUGUGAUAUAUAAUGCUAGUCUCAAAACUAUUCAAAUUACAGUGCAACAAACUGCAGAUCCCUGGACAGGAAAAUAUGCAUUAAAUUUGUAACACUUAAAAGGGGGAAAUUGUGUGUGUGUGUGUGUGUGUGUGUGUGUGUGUGUUGGUGGUGGGGAACUGUCCUAUAAUUGUCCUUAUCAGUAAUAACAAUGUAGUGGAAUAAAUCCUAAAAGACUGUAAUUUAAGGUUGCUAAAGAACAUAGCACCUUCAUUACAGCAAAUUAGCAGUUAUGGAGAAUUAGAUCUGGUCUUUCUCAUGAAAGGAACUCGUACUGAGUAUUAUUUGUGAGAGAGAUGACUAUCGUUUCAAUGCAGAAGUAUUAUAUUACAGGGAAAAUAGACAACCAACAAUUAGGCUCCAUAUUGGAGAGGUGAAAAUGAAGUGCACCUCAACAAUAGAAAUAAGCAGCAGUUCCGCUUAGGCUUUGACC